UACGUAGGGGGCAAGCGUUGUCCGGAUUUAUUGGGCGUAAAGAGCGUGUAGGCGGCCAGAUAGGUCCGUUGUGAAAACUCGAGGCUCAACCUCGAGACGCCGAUGGAAACCAUCUGGCUAGAGUCCGGAAGAGGAGAGUGGAAUUCCUGGUGUAGCGGUGGAAUGCGCAGAUAUCAGGAGGAACACCAAUGGCGAAGGCAGCUCGCUGGGACGGUACUGACGCUGAGGCGCGAAAGCGUGGGGAGCAAACAGG
rnacentral:rRNA from 1 species